rnacentral:tRNA from 1 species
GCACUAGUGGUCUAGUGGUAGAAUUGUACCCUGCCACGGUACAGACUUGGGUUUGAUUCCCGAUUGGUGCG